AUUGCCUUAGUAACUGCGAGUGAAGCGGCAAAAGCUCAAAUUUGAAAUCUGGCACUUUUGGUGUCCGAGUUGUAAUUUGGAGGGGUAUCUUCGGAGAAUGGCACCGUUCUAUGUUCCUUGGAACAGGACAUCACAGAGGGUGAGAAUCCCGUGCUUGGACGGACCAGCCAUAAUCCACAUGAAGUGCCUCCGACGAGUCGAGUUGUUUGGGAAUGCAGCUCAAAAUGGGUGGUAAAUUUCAUCUAAAGCUAAAUAUUGGCGAGAGACCGAUAGCGCACAAGUAGAGUGAUCGAAAGAUGAAAAGCACUUUGAAAAGAGAGUUAAAAAGUACGUGAAAUUGUUGAAAGGGAAGCGCUUGAGAUCACACUCAGUUAAUGGUGAUCAACUGUUGCUUUUGCUCAGUGCACUUGCCAUUUGAUUGGGCCAGCAUCGGUUCUUGCAGUGGGAAAAACGGCUGGGGAAUGUAGCUCUUUCUCUGGAGGAGUGUUAUAGACCUUAUCAUUCAUACUGCUAGCUAGGACCGAGGACUGCACUCAUUUUAUGGGUUAGGAUGCUGGUGUUAAUGGUCUUAAGCGACCCGUCUUGAAACACGGACCAAGGAGUCUAACAACUAUGCGAGUGUUCGGGUGGAAAACCCUUGCGCGUAAUGAAAGUGAACGGAGGUGGGAACCUAAAAAAACAAAUUUUUUUUUCUUUUUUUCUGGUGCACCAUCGACCGAUCCUGAUGUUUUCGGAAGGAUUUGAGUAUGAGCAUAGCUGUUGGGACCCGAAAGAUGGUGAACUAUGCCUGAAUAGGGUGAAGCCAGAGGAAACUCUGGUGGAGGCUCGCAGCGGUUCUGACGUGCAAAUCGAUCGUCAAAUUUGGGUAUAGGGGCGAA
rnacentral:rRNA from 1 species